rnacentral:lncRNA from 1 species
AUGAUCAGGGUCGGGAAUUCGAAAAUGCCCUGUUCAGGACUUUACAACAGCUGGCAGGAGUCUCUCACUCCAGAACCACCCCGUACCAUCCACAGGGAAAUCCAGCGGAGGUUUAACCCCACGUUACUCCAAAUGCUGAGGACACUGGAGCAGGAACAGAAGAACAACUGGAAGGAGCUCUUGCCACAGGUAGUGCAUGCAUAUAAUAUAUGCACCAGACAUGAGGCUACAGGGUUCUCACCCCAUUAUCUGAUGUUUAGGCGUCACCCUCGCCUCCCUAUCGGCCUAGUGUUUGACCUUCCCAUUGACAAGACAAAUGGAACACCACAAACCUACACAGAGAAAUGGGCUGCAAGAAUAAAGAAGGCCUACCGCAUAGCAACAACAAACAGUCAACAAUCCAGUCCACGAGGCAAGGGAUACUAUGACCGUAACAUAAAGGGGGUUGUACUGACACCCAGUGACAGAGUUCUGGUACACAAUAUGAGUGAGAGGGGAGGGCCAGGAAAGCUCAGACCCUAUUGGGAACAAACAGUGCAUGUAGUGAUAGAACAAGUGAAUGACAACCCUAUUUACAAGGUGCGGCCAGAGAAAGGUGGGAAUACUGUGCGGACUCUUCAUCGGAAUCUCCUCCAUCUUGUCAAUGACUUGCCUGUAGAUGAAGCUCAGCCACCCGAGGAAGGAACAACAACAAAAGGCAGAGAAAAGAAUAAGAGGGUAACUCAGGAACACAGAGCACAAUUUCAGAGUAGCAGUCCCUCCGAUUUUGAUGAGGAUGAUGGCCCUCGAACACAUUACUGGUUAAGGAAACAAGGACAGACUGGACCACAGAGAGCCACCAUGCCUGUCUCGUUCCCACUGUCAACCGAACAGACAGGACUGACCCCAAUUGCAACAGAACCCAGGGCACGGCCUGGAUUCACAUUAGGGGAGAAUGCACUAAACCAGGACCAGUUUGGCAGACAUGAUUGUGGACGGAGAGAGAGAUGGAACAGGAUGAGAGUGGGUAUGAACAGGUAA